GCUCUGGGCUGGCGGCAGAAGCGGCAGCGGCUGGGUAGGGCAGGGCAGGGUAACGCGGCCGGAGCGAGGGCGGGAGCCGGGCCGGAGCCGGAGUCGGAGCCGGGGCAGGAGUCACCGUCGCGGCUGGAGCGGAGUGAGCGGCGUGUUGAGAGGCGAGCGGCGGCCGAGGAAACAUUGUACCGUUGGUGAAGCCAGCUCAGGAGGCGGCGCGCCCCCCUCUGGAGGACGAGCUUUGGACAAGUGCCAGCAAGAAAAGAAGCUUAUGUAAAAGGUUUGUCUACGGAUUUUGAGCAUCUGAAGCUGCCCUGCGAAUCUAAGCACCGCCCGCUGCGCCCUCGCCCUUUGAAGCGAUGUCUGUGGCUUACGAUGAUUCCGUUGGAGUAGAGGUGUCCAGUGACAGCUUCUGGGAGGUCGGGAACUACAAGAGGACCGUCAAGCGGAUCGAUGACGGCCACCGCCUGUGCAGCGACCUCAUGAACUGCCUGCACGAGCGGGCGCGCAUCGAGAAGGCGUACGCGCAGCAGCUCACCGAGUGGGCCCGGCGCUGGAGGCAGCUUGUGGACAAGGGGCCUCAGUACGGGACGGUGGAGAAGGCCUGGGUGGCCGUCAUGUCCGAGGCGGAGAAGGUGAGCGAGCUGCACCUGGAGGUGAAGGCCUCGCUGAUGAACGAGGAUUUCGAGAAGAUCAAGAACUGGCAGAAGGAGGCCUUUCACAAGCAGAUGAUGGGAGGCUUUAAGGAGACCAAAGAAGCCGAAGAUGGCUUUCGGAAGGCGCAGAAGCCCUGGGCCAAGAAGCUGAAAGAGGUAGAAGCAGCCAAGAAAGCCUACCACGCAGCGUGCAAAGAGGAGAAGCUGGCAAUAUCUCGAGAAACCAAUAGCAAAGCGGAUCCAUCCCUCAACCCCGAACAGCUGAAGAAAUUGCAAGACAAAGUAGAAAAAUGCAAGCAAGACGUCCUUAAGACCAAAGAGAAGUACGAGAAGUCUCUGAAGGAGCUGAGCCAGGGCACACCGCAGUACAUGGAGAGCAUGGAGCAGGUGUUUGAGCAGUGCCAGCAGUUCGAGGAGAAGCGCCUGCACUUCUUCCGGGAAGUCCUGCUGGAGGUUCAGAAGCACCUAGACCUGUCAAAUGUGGCCGCCUACAAAAACAUUUACCAUGACCUGGAGCAGAGCAUCAAAGCUGCCGACGCGGUGGAGGACCUGAGGUGGUUCAGAGCCAACCAUGGGCCAGGCAUGUCCAUGAACUGGCCGCAGUUCGAGGAGUGGUCCGCAGACCUUAACCGAACUCUCAGCCGGAGAGAGAAGAAGAAGACCGCCGAUGGUGUCACGCUGACCGGCAUCAACCAGACGGGCGACCAGGCUCUGCAGAACAAGCCCAGCAGUGACCUUAGUGUCCCGGGCAACCCCGCACGGUCAGCGCAGUCACUGUCCAGCUACAACCCCUUCGAGGACGAGGACGACACGGGGAGCACCGUCAGUGAGAAGGAGGACGUUAAGGCCAAAAAGUUGGUGAACGACCGUUUCCCUCUGGUUCCCACCUCGCUCGCCCUCUGUCUCUCCUCUCUCUGUCCAGGGUCUCCCCCUCGGCACGCAAAGCAAUGCAUGAGGCCUGCAGAGGUGGCCCGGCUGCCCGCGGCUGGACUCCCGCCUGCUCCAGCUCUCGGGGAGGGGGCGCCAGUUAACGGUCUGUGGUUGCUUUUCCUCCGCCCUGUGUUCGCCCUGGUCACGGCCCUGGCACACCAGCGCGGCAAGACAGGCCUGCGGGCCGGGAGCCUGACCACGCAGAGUGGCUGCGGAAGGAGUCCCAGCGCAGCCCCAGGCUCCUGCGGCCUCCCCGCCGGGGACUGAGGCUACAGGCAGGGCCUCUGCCGGCCCCGUGCUCAGGGCCCGCGUGUCAACCCUUUCUUGCAGUGUGAGCAGCUACGAGAAGACCCAGAGCUACCCCACGGACUGGUCAGACGAUGAGUCCAACAACCCGUUCUCCUCCACCGACGCCAAUGGGGACUCAAAUCCGUUUGACGAGGACGCCACCUCGGGGACAGAAGUGCGGGUCCGGGCCCUUUACGACUACGAAGGGCAGGAGCACGAUGAGCUGAGCUUCAAGGCCGGGGACGAGCUGACCAAGAUAGAGGACGAGGAUGAGCAGGGCUGGUGCAAGGGGCGCUUGGACAACGGGCAGGUUGGCCUGUACCCAGCGAAUUACGUCGAGGCCAUCCCGUGACAGGCCAGUGGGCUGGCUGGCAGAGGGAUGGAGGCGGAGGUCCCAGGAGCUCUGUUAGCCAUAGGCCCCGGGCAGCGGCGCCUCCGGCCAGCCGUGGGGGCAUCCACUCCUUUUCCUGCAAAAGAUGAUGGUUCCAUUGCUCUUGGCUCCAUAGUGUCUCUUGAAGGCAGACGAGCGGGUCCUUUCAGCUGGGACUCGGUGCAGAUGGAGAGAUCUGAGCACAGGAAGAAAGACAGCACAGCAGACAUGGCUGGGCCCCUCCCUGCCCCCGCUCCCCCGCGCCGUGUGCUGGCUUAUCAUGGAUCUGUAUGUUCUUGGCCUUGUCCUUCCACCUCUCUUCCCAGCCAGCGGCGGGCUACACUGAUUCUGGUUCCACCAGUUACUUUCUCUGACAAGUCCCAUCACCUGCAACUUAAAUGAACAAACUUACAUGCCGUUUUCUGAAUGAAGACUUGGAGGUUUUUAAUUUAAAGGCUGUGUACAGUUAUAGUUUUUUAUGUACCUGUUCUUCCAUUCAUUUAUCCUUAAAUUAUGGCACAGAUCGAUGUACACGAGUCUUGAGGAAACAGCUCUAUUUCCAUGCUGUACUGUCAACCAGCCGUGCCACUGCCUGGGGCGAGCUGCAAGAGCUGGGAGCUCGCUCGGACAGACGAUGUUUAGGCCAGAGAGUGCACGGGAAGGCCGGAACACAUGGCUGGGUUUCUGUUGCGAUGCUCUCCGCAUGUGGGGGGUCCAAAUGGCAUUUCCGGAAGUAACUUACGUAGUGCUCGCUAAAGUCGCCGUAUUUAAAAACUAUUUUCACUCUUACUUGUGCUUAAUACUUUACUCUUACAAAUUAACGAUUUCAUCAGUGAUUUGAAAGGUUAAAAAUAAAAAAUAAGAAGACUAACUUUGCAAGCAAAUGCAUCUGUAGUUGAGAUGCUUUGUACCAGGCUCUCGUGUCUUGGUGUAUAUCUGUACAUGUUAUUUGAUAUUCAGAGAAUCUAAAGAGCUCGUCUACUGUGUUAAUGAGAUUUAACAGCUUUUGACAGUGGGUUUAAUUUGUAAACUGCUUGAAGACCGUGCGUUCAGGCCCAGGCGCUCGGGCUCCAGGCCUCGGAAGCGGAGCCCGCUGUGGGGAGACCUGUCCUCACUGCCCAGCUGCGGGCCAGCUUCCAAUAACCGCCUUAGUCCUCUCCGCGGCGAACACUGUACAAGCUCCUGAGUCCUUGCAGCAGCUGCAGAUCUCAUAGUCGCCCGUAUCCCUCUCGAGCAGACAAAAGCUGGGUCUCACCCCCCAGCACAAGGGUCUCCUCCAAGUGUCCGCAGCCAUCAGGGAGCAGGAAGCUACACUGUAAUCACAGGCCAGGGAGGGAGGGGAAAAUCUUUAUUUUGUGCUACUUGGACAUUGAGAAAUGGCUGCCGCCAUCACAAGCUAUGCAUUUUGUUCAGUGUUUCCAGGGAGCUUGAUGUCUUACUUGGAAAGUGGAUGUGUGUGUGUCUGUCAUGAAAACUUACCAGCAGAAAUCCUCAUUCCUUUGCUACAGAUUUACCAAAAAAUUGUCAAGUCUUUGCAGUGUAGGAGUUUCUUUAAAAUGUAGAGUAUUUUAGAAAAAAACGUCAAUAAACAGUUGAUC
rnacentral:lncRNA from 1 species